GACGGUUAGAGAAAUGGUGUACCAGCUGGGAAGACUUGUUUAUCUUGGGCCAGAUCUCAGAAUGCAGUGAGAAGUUUGCUGGGGGGAGGCUUCAGGAGGCACCCUUUUUAUUGUUGUUACUUACAGAGAGAGGCCUCCUGGGCUUUGUACUCAGCCCUGCUAUCAGCUGCCUGGGAGCUUCUCACCCCAUCAUGCUGUGUUGGAUGGCUUUGCUUGGACCCUGUCGGAUCACAGCUGGGCUUUGCUGAACCCUCUGAGAUGCACCGAAGUCAGGGUAUGCCUGUGGCUGUUCACUACCAGUGUACACAACCAAAAAAACUACUGGGAACAGAAAACUGGAUCCUAAACCCUCUGAGGUCCAAAAUCCUGCGUUGGGUUGGACUCUCCAGGAGCUCUCCGGGAGCAGGGAGUGGCAUUCCCCCUGCCUACAAACAAGAUUGUUUUAGAGUCCUAUUUCAAGUUCAGGCUCAGGAGUCAGGGUAGAGCCAAAACUAAACCCACAUGCCCUGGGUCCUUCUCUUGUUGCUUCGGAGAAAAUGCCUCGGAGCUGUCUCGGUUUGCACUGACACCUCUCAUUAGUCAGCACCAGGCUGCUCCUGGGCACUUUCUGCUUCUGGGCACUUUCUGCUCUGAGCUGGAGGACAUGUUCCUGGUGCUGGGAGCAUGGAUUUGGAAUCCUUUUAGCCACCACUCUGCUUUCUGGCAGCUUUUGAGGUGUGAAAAGGGAGAAAAAGCCGCAGAGCAGCAAUCGGUGCCAGCCCGUUUUGGCUGCUCUAUCAGGGAAGGGAUGGGGUGGCCAAGCCAUGUGGGACCUGGGGCACUGAUGGGCUUGGUGCAGUGCACAAUGGCUGAGUGCUGGAGCCGCGUGUGGGAGACGAAACCACAAGGCAGCAGACAGCUGAAUGGAAUGGCCCCUGUAAAAUUAAUUGCUUGGAGGAGACGGCUCCUGCAAAGAGCUCAGCCCCUGCAGAAGGCACGCCAAGGCAGGCCCUGAGGCAGCUGGGAGGAGCAGGGUCCCGCAGCCCCUCCUGGAGACUGCUCCCAGAUGGUGACAUGAAUGGCAAACCCAGGGCAAGGGAUGAGUCAGGGGGUGCAAGGCACUGAGCGUGUGUCCUGAGAGCAGCGCCUGGCACGGUUCAGAUGUGCACUGAGAACUUGAGUGCUGGCUCUGCCCCACAGCAGGAACAUCGGUGUCCAUGUGCAAACAACACACUGCGGUGAGCUCCUGUGCUGCUACAGAGAACAGAGCCACCCAGGGCUGAGCCCUUCACCUCCCUGCUGCAUUACGUGCUGGCUGAGAGCGCAGAGCCAUACCAGACCUAUGACGAAACAACUGGAGAAACAGAGAACGACGUUGCUUGGAGGUGACUAAGCCAGAGAUGCCAGGAGGAGGCAGGAGCAGCUUGCAUCCAGCUCUGCGUGACCCAGCACGAUUCAGCCCUGUGCAGACACACACACCCGGCAGCCUGGCACUCAGAGCUGAGCAGAAGACACAAGCACAGCCUGGCCAGCUUUCUGCUUGCCCACGGCGACGUGCGGCUCCAUCAGCACAUCACAUGGCAGAGCCAAACCCAUCACCUCCAGAUCCCUCGAGCUACUGCUUCCCCACGGCAUGCAGCACCGGUUCUGCUCCGAGCUCCUGGCUGCAUGGAGCUGCAGCUUCCUGCUCUCCCCUCCUCUGGAAGGGCACAAAGCCACUGACUUGGCUGCCAACUGUAGUGAGGGAUCUUGGCAACACAGUGGCCUCUUCCCAGCAAAAAAUUAAUCUGUUUUCAUUUCUCCCCUCUGCUCCCCAUUAUUUUGAGCAGUGGUGUUUGUUUCCUGAGUGUUGCAACAAGCAGCUGUGAAAGCUUCUGGUGCUGGCAGAAGACAUUGCUCCCCCGUGGCAAACCAGGUCACGGCUGGAGGAACUGGGGGGUGCAUCCCCAGGGAGCUGACAGCAAACCCCCGUCCUGCCAAAAUGAGCUCCCCAGGGAAACGAGGUGGCAAGCUGCGUGGAGCACCUGCUAAGGGAGAAGGAUGCUGAUGGAGAGCCAAGAGCCAAACCCAUGGAAUGGCGCUGGAGCAUGCCCGGCAGCUGUGGGCACGGAGAGGCGGGUGGAACGUCAGCAUCCUGCGGAUGCUGGUUUGACCCAUCACUGCUGGGAAUAGCUGCGUGGGUUAGGAAACCCUGCAGGAAGGGCUGCAGCUUGACACCACUGCGUCCUGUGGGGGGGCAGAAAGCACGGCCCAGCAGCCAAUGGUCGCCAGCAGCAAGUGGUGCUGGUGGGCAGCUCGGUAUUUCAGAGCUAUCCGAAGGGGUUGUGAUCCUUCGUACUUCAGUUCCACCACUCAGCCCUGUGUAAGAUGGAAAUAAAUUCCUCUCUGUUAGACUUUUCUGCUAGAGAGGAUUCACAAAAACAUCUUCACUGCUGUGAUGCUGAUAGUGGCUGGGCGCACCACUGUCCUUUCCUUCAGGCUUUCCAUUCCUUCAUCUUUCUCGCCGUUCCUUGUCCUCCAUCCAACACAAACAUCUCCCCCAUGGCAGAGGUGGGGCUUUGGGGAUUUGUUACCAGCAAACCCCUGCCUUAUGCAAGCAGCUGCUGUUUUCGAACUGUUUCCUCAUUUUGAAGCAAGAAAGGAUCGGCUGCUUGGCCAGAUGCCAAGUGGAGAUUUCUCACUUUUGUGGGGCUCUGGGAGAAGGGACGUCCCCCAGAAUCUCCUGCACCACCAGCCCUGAGCACAGCCAGAGCCCAGGGAACAAAAGUGCUGGCAGCAUCCUGUUGUCACUUUCGGGCUGGUACUUGUCGGUAGGCGUGGAUCACUAGUGCAAAGGAGGGUUUAGAAGGGAUCAGAUGGAUGCAAAAUAUCACCAUGGAGUCCCAGCGCUGCUUAUUUACACACUUGGCUUUUCCUAGAGGAAAACAGCCAGGCGUGUGCGUCCUGCUCCGAGAUGCUGACAGGAGACAUCCGCUCCAAGAGCUCCCCUCAGCUGGGACCUGAACGCGUGCCACGUGCCUGAUUUGUGUGGGACUCAGCGCUCCUAGAGCGAAAAGGGUUCGACAGCCAGAAAAGAUUUUGUCCUGUCUCAGUUAGCUAUGUCUUGAAUUCUGCAUCUGUCUUCCCUCGUGCUGUUUGGCCAUGCAAGGAAAAGUGUUCUGCUGCAAGUGGAGCUGAGUGUGGAGGGUGAAGAGCAUCACCCGCCCUUCCCUGGGGCUGCUCAUGUAGCCCCGCUGGCCACGUGGCAGCUCCCCAUCCUUGUCCCCUGAAGCUGAUGAAGCUGCCUCCACUCACACCUGGCCGAGACCCCAGGAAGCGGAGUUAUGGCUGUGCAUCCUCAUGGCUCAAUCUCUUCCCCUCAUUGCAUGGUGAUGGCACACUGCACCAGCUCCAGACAGGAGGCCUGCCAGGCCGGCUGUUUGCUCAAGGUUGCUUUUGGGAGCGGCCGGAGGUGCCCACAUAAAAGCUGCUGGGGAGCGGGCACGCUGCCCACCAGCAGGUUCUCUUUCUCUGGUUUGCUGUUUGCAAGCCUAAAGUAAGCUGUCGGUAGUGCAACGGCACAACUGCGUCUGGAGCAUGGCAUGGGCACUUGGGAACAACACGGCUUGCUCGUCCAUGUGCUCUGAAGGUUCAAACUCCAGGGAAAACCAGCCACAGCCAGCAGCAGCCCCAGAGCUGCUCCUUCUUCUACUGGUGAGCACUAGGAUCCCCCCAGUAACCACACCAGCAGUCCCUGCCCAGCGCUAACCAGAGAGAGACACUCGUCCCCUCCGUGUCCCACUUCCCGCUGUCGGCUCCAUGACACCGACCUGCAGGCAUUCUCCCUGAGCAGCAGCCAAGAGAAAGCAUUGUAAAGAGGAAACAUCGGGACUGAAUUACAGAGAUUAGGCAGAGGACAACAGGACAGGGGGAGUGACCAACCAGACAGGAUGAAAAGUAGCAAAGGAGGAAAGUUUAGAAGCUGGCGGGAUUUCUGAAACCGUGAGAUGACAGUGGCUGACAACACUGGAACAUGUGAACAAUCCACUGAAUGACAUCUUGCUGAUGAGGACAGCUUGGCUGACAGCAGGCUCCAUGGUAGGUGGGGGUGCCGACCCCAAACAGUAACUGAGCACCCACCAGCAGCAAAGAGCCCACGGGUCAGAGCACAGAUGCUUUGGGAGUGAAAGAAAGCCACACGCACAAGCAGGGCACAACAAGGAAUUCAUUCACUGCUUCCAUCAGAAGGCAGAUGUUCGUCCACUUCUUGGAAACCGGGGCCUCAAGCAACACAUGCAGAGCUUACUUGGGUAGAGAAAUGUCACAACCAAGAGUCCCCUCUUCCCUGUCCUUUCCCUGAGGGCAUCACAAUAAGGGGACCUUGAUGCCAGCAUGCAGCUGCCUUACCAGUGCUGUUUUAGUCACAAAUCACAGCACCAGCUCCAGCCGACUGGGGCUGGAUCUCCAAGUCCACGAGGAGCCCAUGUAGGGCACAGAAGCGAUGGGAGAUGGCUCCUCUGCACCCUUCUCCUUGCAGCUGCACUGUGGGACCCGACCCCACGUAGCAAGCCUGGCUCUCAGAGCUGCAGCUGGGCCAGCUUUGUUUACGAGCUCACAAAACGACGCGGAGUUCAACCAGCUCCUCGCUUUCGCCUCGCCUCUGCGAUCUGCAGUGCUUUAUAUGCGUAGGAACAAGUGAGCUCAUUUGCAGAGUUCCAGGAGCGGGUCAAAGAGCAACCUGAUACAGAGGUGGAAAAUAAGCAAGAGGGCUGGCUGCCAGCAGCGCAGAGUGGAGCUGAAGCUCUUGGGCCUGUCCUGAGUGUGCCAGCCCUCUCACCAUCCGAAUUUAGGGCACCUCUGGCCCAGCCAUUUCACCUCUUCCUUUUUAGGAGAAGUUUUACGUCUCAUCUGCCAUACUGCUCACAGCUGGGAGCAGCUACCUCACAGACCUGUGGCACUGAAGGGGUAAAGUAGGAAGAACAGUCAAAAAAUCCACCAAAAACAGAAACAGAAGUGGCUCAUUGCUCAUAAAGAGGCUUCUGGAUUUCUCCUGUGAUGUAGGUCACGGAUAGGCAGCACCUCUGGCACUGUCUCUCCCAGUUACAGAAGAGGCCCCUCUGCUGCAUGCAGCAGGAUGAGCAAAUGGCUGCUGGGUUAUCGUGGUGCUUCUUCAUCCUUCACAUGGUGCAUCCUCAUCCUCUCACCUGCCAGAGGUGCCAGGGCUGUCCACAUGCAUCAGCCUCCCUGCCAAGAAGGAGCUGGCAGCAGAGAGCUCGCUGCUUCACUGCUCCAGUCCUGUGCUUUACAGCCACAGCAUCAGUACAAGGAGAGGAAGAUGUGGAUGUGUAACAGCUAACUUCUGGAGUCUGAGUCUGUACGAGAGCCACGUUCUCCGUCCCUGGCUUGCAACCAUGAGGUUGUAUGAGAGAGCACAGCAAGAUUGAUGGAACAGUACACAGCACUCGUGCCUGGUUGCGCAGACUCCACUUAGCAUGUGGAGUCAUCUGGGGGUCCCCAGCAGAGAUCCUCCAACACUUCAGAUUCCUGCCUCAUUUCCUCAUACAUUUUUCAUUGCAAUUUCCCCAGCUGGACCCAGACUGGGGUCUCAUUUUGCAUUCCUGGAGCCAGAGAAGCUCUGAAACUUGGAGCCACCUUAAGCAGUACAGAUGAGGAAAGCCUGGACAAUUUGGAAAAAGCCAACUUUGAGAGAACCUCCUUAGAACUCUGUUUCCUGAGGAAUUCCCAGCUACACAAUAAGCCGUGACUUAUGGAACAGCCGGAUCUUGGCCUCUUUCAACAAUUGUAGCCUCUUGACCUGUCAGCUCAGGGGAGAAGAGACAACCUGCAGUGAUCUGCACGCACGUACAAGAACGAUACGCAGCCUGAAGAUCAGCCUGCAUGCCGUGAGACGCACGCUUGGCCAUCAUCCUGGGCCCAGGCUCCUGGUUUGACAGAUGGGGGAAGCCAUCCAAGACAUUGAUGAACGGGCCUCCAAGCACCCAUCGAGCUGCAUGCAGUCACAACAGGAAAGGGAAGCGGCUCGUGGUUGUGAGUUCCUACCAGGAGGGACAGCCUGGCCCCCGCCUCACGCACAGCUGCAGGAGCGCCGGCCAAGCUGCACUCCCUGCUCCCAGCCUGGAAUUUGAUGGAUAUCAAGGCCAAUUUCCCAUCAGACCCCAUACCAGGUGGCAGUCAGACCGUCUCUAGCCCCAGCUCUGCCAGGAGCCUUCUGGUGGGGGCAGAAAACAGAGGUACCCGUCAGAUAAUGCCAGUAGCCUUUGAGACACAAGAAGUUUGGUUUUAAUGUAGGUGUUACCCAAAAACUAGCGUGCUGUGAUGCAAUGGGCUCAGCGUGUGUGCGGCUACAGCAGAGGAGCACAACCAGACUGGUCUAGCACAGGGACAUGCAGAGCCCCACUGUGGAGGACAUUGCUCCAUUUCAGCUGAACUUCAGCUUCAGGGCUCUCAUAACAAGGCUGCCUCUACAAGAAGCUUUGCACAGGGCUCGUUAUUGCUCAUCUGCAGCUUUUCAGCCCUUCUCAGUAGGGGGACAAAGCCAUCUGAGCAGGAGCAAGGCUCCAAGGACAAAACAAUCGUCCUUUUUGUGUAAGCCUAGCAAAGCAGCUGGGGAGCGAGUGGGAGGAGAGGGAACGACUCCUGCCCCGUCUGCAGGGCUCCUCCAGCAAAACUGGGAGCUUCUUCACUCAGUGCAUGGCUGGGUCUGGUGCCAUGCAGCAGCAGUGUGUGAGUGGCCUAUAGAAGUCGUGUGUUAUUCAGCCUGAACUUGUCAGUGGCGAAAGCCAGAGAAAGAUUGAAAGGGGAGAACAAGUUUGGAGUGCUGAGAAGGGGAAAAAGGACUUCCCUCCAUCAGCAAGUUGCUAUUUACAAUGGAAAGAAGAGGUAGGACAUGGGGGCUAGGUUGGAAAUCCUGUUUCAUAAACAAGGCUAUCCAGGAUAAAGCCUGUCCAGGAAACGUGCCUGAGGGACGCAGGGGGCUCAGCUGGAAGCCCUACUGCUGACAGCCAUCCUCCCAUCAUGAGCCCUGCCAGCCUUGUACUCCUCCCACGUCAGGCUGGGGAAAUAUUUGCAAUUCCAGCAGCCCGUAAAGAAAGAGGUGACUUGAUGCAUGCAAAGCAACCAGAACAAUUCCCGUCUAUUUUGGAGAUAAGAGGCUGUUGUUCUACAGCUGGGUGCCGUAAUGUCUGACCCACGGAUGAAAGAGCAAAUGCUUUCCCUGCAGACCACUGGUGCUAUCGAGCUGCGAUGUCCUGUCUGAUCUCCACCCUUCCCUGAAGGCACAAGCUCCCAGCAGCAGCCUCUCUGCGUACAAAGUCAGGCUAGAUGCCUCCCUGCAGCCCUUCUGAGAAGGCUGGUCCCAAGCUGGAACCCAGAGGAACAUCUUGUCUGUGGGAAGUGAGCACAUGGCUCACGUUGGUAUGAGCGUGAGACUGCGCAAGGGAGAGCGUGGCCGCUGGCAUCCCAGCCCUGCUGCUGCACAUGGGCAGCUGCGUGGCCCUGGGUCAGCAUUCCUGGUAGGACAGGGCAGAGGCAGAAGGGAUGGCAUACAGUUCUCCACAAGAGUUACGAAAACAAGCCUUCUUCAGCAGUUAUUCACUCCAGACCCGACUUCAUCCACAUCCAUCCAAGCUGAUUGCCAAAUUUCCCAAAGCCUACAUUGUGCACCCCAGCAGAGAUGGGACUGGGGCCAGGACCCCGGCAGAUGAAGUUGCAGUUUGAACUUUCCUAGCGAGCUGUCCGUGCAGCACGCUGCAUAACCCCUCCAAACAUCUGGCACAUCGGCAUGGGCAGCUCCCCACCGCUGGACGGGAUAUUUUGGGAUCUAGGUCAGGGGAAUUAUUUCCAGCACUAGCAGCUGGAAACAGACUCAGAAAAUGUGAAAACAAACUUGGUUGGAGGCAAUUUGGUAGCCAUCUACAGUGCUCUGUUACUAUCUCCUCUACAGUGGGAAGGGAAAUGAAUUGUUUUCAGACCUGUUGAUUGCAUGGGUUUGCCUGCGCUUAUUAAUUACUCUGUAGGUAUGGGUGGCAUUAAGAAGCUAUAUUCCAUCAACCUUGAUGUCACAGCAUUAGUCAUGGCAGUUGGCAGUUCUGCCUCCCUUCCGCCCCAUAAUAUUUCCAAUGCCUAAUAGAAACACUCCUUAACCCUUGAAGAACUGCAGGGAAAUGCUUUGCAAACCCCCCCGCAUCCCACAGUGCGGCACGAGCAAGGGAGCAGCACCCAGAGCUACACACAAGUAGAGCUGCCCUUCCUGGCCACGCAACCCUCUGCAAGCUCAGCUUAGCUCUGCCAGUGAUGUAUUUACACUGCCAGCACUUUCUAGUUUAGAUUUUUCACCUUGGUAGCAUUACCCAGCUCUGGGCACUCCCUUUAGCUCUACAGUUAGAUCUUACAUGCCAUACAUUUUAACAGCAAGUGACCCAAAGCUCUGCCACCAAGUGCACUGGAUGUCUCCCAUGACGUGUGGUUGGGGCACGGAACGCAGGACAUGGGGAACUUGCAACUAUUUUGCACCAAGUUGCCUUGAAAUAAGCACACUUGGCCAUCUCCUUGACUCACUCCUUCAGCCUUCUCAAACAAACACACCUCCUCUUCUACCCCAUCAUCUGCCCAAGGGCCAGCCUUCCUCACAGGUUGUCUCACCCCUGUCUGUUCCAGCAGGGGCGUGAAGCAGCACCAAAUAGCUCCAAGUAAUGUAUUUAUGCUGAGCUCUGGGUGUGCGACUGCUCAUCUCGCUUCCCACCAGGCGACGAAAGAGGAAUCAAAGAGGCCUUGCUCAGGCUGGGGAGGAGCUGGAGCCCACUGCAGGGUUUCCAAACAGGUUAUCCUUGUGGAAGUCUGCCACUCUGUAAGCACUCGUAACUCAAAUCCUGGUUGCUACCGACAACGCAAAACUUUGCCGUUCCAGCUCUUCCUCUCCUUCCCAGCUGAAGCACUGGGCUGAAAAAGCAGCGAGGUGACACUCACCAUCUCCACAGCCAUUUUCCAGCCCUAGUGCUUGAAAAAUGAGGACAGCAAAAGCUGCCCAUUGAUAAAUGGGGUCAGGGCCGAACAAAGGGCAGGAGCCAUCACCCCAGGCAGAGCCAGCUGUGCCCUCAGGUGUGGUUGCUGUGCUGCAAGUGGGGCUGCUGCAGACAUGUGAGUGCCCCAGUUGCACACCUUGCUGAGUGCCCAUUGUGCAGACCCUGCCCAGCGAGCAUUCUCAUGCACACGGCUCCUUCUGCGUCCGUGCUGCCUCCAGGCACCUGCCAGGGGUAUUGCUGCUCUGCUGCUUUCCCUGUGGAAGGCACUCAGAGCAUCCCUGCAGGGCAGCUGCCUCCUCUCUCCUCCCUGUGUGAGCUCUGUGUGGGAUGGAGAUGGUGCAUGGAACAUGGAGAGCAAUGCUACAGGUGAUGCAUAUUGGAGAACCCAGCAAAACUAUGAUCUUUUCCCCACCACGUCACAGCUCUGAUCCUAACUGGAAUCUAACCUUUUCUGGGGUUUUAGAUCAUAAAGUACUUAGCUUUGGUAGGAAGCAAAGCAGCAGGCUGGAUGGACCGCUUCCCUGUAACCUGAACUGAAAACCUCUGUGGGCUGUGACCAGCAGCUCUCCUCUCCAUGAUCCUAUUAAUUUUCAGACCUCUAAGCAUCUGUAGCUCAGCUGAGACCAGAAAGCAAAUGCAGAAAUGUAAAGCUUCAUGUAGGAGAUAAGGACCCUUGCGCAGGAGAUAAGGCGCUGCGAGUGGAAGGAUUGUUUACUUCUCAGUGGCAGCAGACGGAGCUUUGGGGGUGAGCCAGGAAGGCCAUGGAAAGGGAUCCAGAGGGCUGAAAAGAGGUUUCUGCACAGAAGGGCUGGAAGUCAGCACGGGGCCAAGGUAACCGCAGCGAAAAUAGAAAGCAAAGGGCCAUCAAAGCUGAACAAAGUAAAAGGUGCAAGGUAGCAGAAAGUCAAAGCAGCAAAGGAGGCAGGUGGCUCGGCCAUCUGAGGAGGCUCUGCAGCUGUCCCCAUAACGCAGGCAGACCCCAGCCCUACAUCCCGAGCCGUGCCAAAGCAGUCUGGGUGCGUGAGUGCCCGGAACGCAGCACAGAUCUGUGGCCUUCGGCAGCAAGAGGCUCGUGUCUGGGAGGAAGUCUGCUCCCCUGGCUGCUAUUUUUACUCCUGCUCAUCUGGUUAGGGGUUAGGGCUUGGUUUCCUCAGCUCUCAGCUGCGUGCUUGGGAGACAAUAAGCGCAGGCACGAUCGAAACUGGCGGCUGCUGAAAGCAGAGCGACGAACCAGACAGCGCUACCUCUUCCUGCAUCCCAGCCUGCUCUUUUAUGUGUUGUUGUUUUUUUUUUUUCCUAUGCUUCUUAUCUCUCCUUGUGUUUUGUGCAAGCCAUUGAAAAGCAAGUCUAGCCCUGCACAUCCUGCCUGCUCCAUCCCAGGGGGCAAAGCACAUCGGGCUCUCCAGUGUGACCCAGCGGCGCUUCCCAGCGCUUUGCUGAGCAUCCCUCCCCAAGCACAGGACACUGCAGCCAAUUGUGUUCCCAUGCUUCGUUCCACAGGCACGGGGCUCCCUUCCCGCCUGCUCCUUCAGCUCCCAGCUGUGCCAGCCCUGUCUCCUUGCAGCUUUCACUGUGUAUUAUCCACCAGCAUCCUCCCAGGGCAGGUUCUCACGUCUUUACAGCCACCGGAGACAGACACGGGGGGUGCGGGGGGAGCUGUUAUCUGGGUAUCACUUGGCACCGACAGCCCCCGCAGCUGCCAGCCCACGUGGACGGGCAGAGCAGUCACUAACAUGUUGGUGGGGUUGCAACACUCCCCAGAGGCUCUAACGUACGUAGCCGCCUGCUUGGUGCCACGCAGAUAAAAAUGUGAUGACAAAAGUGUAAUUUUAGCACAUUGUUAGGAUAUUAACCCUACCGAUGAGGAUGAGCUGGAGCAGAUCUGUGCUUCCAGGUGAGCAGGAGGAAUAACCCGUGCUCAGCACCACGUCUGCUGCCAUGGGGUUACAGAGGCAGCACCCAUGCAUGGCAUGCUGCAUGGCUGGGCGCCUCCUGCAGCUCCUUAAAGGCUGCUGAAUGCAGGGAAUGAGCUCAGCAAGCACCCUUAGGGUCAGAGCCUGGGUGCAUGGCUGGCAUGCUGAGCCCAGGCUUGGAGUAAGACCAUGAGACAACUUUGCGGGCUCUCGGUCAGGAUGCAAAGCACCAUGAAAUGCAUCUGUGUUGCCUUCCAUGUGCUUUGGGUGCAGCAAGCCCAAAUGACACAUCCCCAGCCCUUUCCUGCACAAUCUCUUGCAAAGCUCCCCUUGGCACUGCCUGGAGAGCUGCAGAACAAACCAAUGUUGUUCCUGGCUGAUCGAGCUGAGGGGAGGACAAAGCCUGGGGUGAGAAGAAAACACAAAUGCUGACCUUCCCCAGCUGUGCUGUGUGCUCUGGGCUCGUCAUGGUCUGUGCAUAACCCUUUGUUUCCAUGCAUAGGGUUAGAGUUAUGAUCUGGGGAGCUUGGCUUUCAUUUCUCAAGCAGGAAUACAGUGACACUGAGUUGCUUGGGGCAAUAUUUGCUGGCACUAAUUCCCCAAAGCAAAGCUUUGCUUCUCAGAAACACUCCUGCUGGGGAUGCCCAGGUAUGCCCUUUUGUCAGGACUGCCAGCUGUAGAGUGAAAUCUUGCUCCCUGGCCCUGAAGCAGUGCUGUCCUCCGCUUCUUUUUCAGUUGGCAUUUUUUCCCCCGCAGACCUCUGAGCAGAGAUGAGCCACAGUGAUUGAGAGGUUUCUCUGGAUGGCAGUCUCUAGCUCUCAAAGAGGACUGUGAAGUAGUUUGCAGCAUCUGCCACGCUCGCCCUCCCAGCCAUUCUGUGCUACCAUCGAUCCUGAGGGCUACGUAAUUUAUUUAUUUUCAUAUUCUUCUGCAGCUCUUCCACAAAGAGCCCUUCAGCAACGCGUGCCUGACAGAUGGCCUCAGAGCACUGCUGUGUUUUAGCAGCUCUGCGUGCCCAGAGGCACAUUUAAACACACACAGCUUCCCAGCUGCCUCCUGCUGCUCGCUGCCACAUGAAGGACUGGUUUGAGGGGUGCUGGGACAACUGGGUCACAUCGCUGCUUGCAUCCUUACCUGCACAGCAGCUCCCAUCAGGACCCAGGGACCGUCCCCAGGAUGAGGAUGCAGUGUGACCCAUGCUGCAGGAUCGGCUUGCUGGGUGUAAACCCUUGGCGGGCACCCACUGCUUGGUUGCUCCUUAAUUGUUUCCAUUCAUUUGGAGUUUCCCCAAGCUGGAAAUCAUCGCCAGCAACCAGUGAGCUCCGAGAUGGAGGAGGGUGUUGCGGCAGGACAAUGGACAUCUCCCCAAAGACGCUCAAGUUACCAUGAAGCAGUCAGCGACACAAACAGAGAGAGCAAAAGAAGCUGUCCGGCACAUAUGUCAGUGGAAUUGUAUUACCACGCAGAUCCCUGCCAAGUUAGCCUACAGAGUUACUCAGGAGACUGGGAGAAUGAGGGACAUGGAGCACUCAUCUGGCAGAGAUGACACUGAGAGCAAUGCCCGGAGCUCUUGGCAAUGCACUGCAGCUCUGCCAGGAGCAGCUGAGCCCUGCCGGGUACCAGUGCCAGUGAUUUCCAUUGGAUCUGGUUCCCAGUGACUUCUGUGGUGCUGGCCAGACCGGUGCCUGUGUGACUGGGAUUUGUUCUUUAUUUCAGGAGGGCUUUUUGCUUUUUCAUCCCUGGCUCUUAACGCUCUGAACAAAUCAGAGAUUGGGAAUGAAGGACCUGCAUGGCGGGAGCAGCUCUUCCUCCUGCCACUUGUGGAAGCUGUCAGCAUUCACUUCUGUCAUAUUAAAUCUGCAUGGAAUUUGCACAUGAGGCUCCUAUAAGCACUCACGCACAGCAAGAUGUCUCAGGAUGCAGAGCAGAGGGGCGAAGUGAUCUGCCCAGCACUGUGGGGCUGCAUGGACCAGAGCAGCGCUUCCCCACAAUGGGACACUUCCAAAAACGAGAGCUUCCCUCGUCUCUCCCUGGUUCACCCAUCUGUUGUUACGGAUCCCGCCAGUAAUUUGGUACAGAACAUUGUCAGCAGCCAGCAAGCACUCUUGGUGUGUUGUUACAUUCGUGAAGAAUGAGCCCGCUUGCUGUGAUGGCUCCAUUCCUUUGGCUUUUGUUUUUCUGUCCCUUCUGUUAGUAAUCAAAUCGUGGUUUUGCUGUUUUCCUGCUUUCCACGUUGCACUCCACAAACACCCCCCCUAGAAACGAAGCACCCACUGCAGCAGCAGCAGCAGGGCUACAUUCUCCCUUCCAAACAAAUUGGGAGCAGGGAGCUGAAGCCAAAGAUACCCACAUUCCCCCUGGACAGAACAUUCCAGAAACCUCAGCAUUGCUGAGCUACCGUCCUCACAGCAUCCUCAUCCUCACCCCAAAGCCCUGCAGACACAAAGCAGACACCUUUCUAGCAGCACAGACAGAAUCCCUGCCCCCAGGUCCUGCUGUCCUUCCCCUGCUCUCCUCUGCUGCUUUUCUCUCAUAGCUCUGCUGCAUACCAGCUGCAAAUACCAGUGCAAAUGCCAGCUGCAGGGAAAGGUAGAAGCUCUUCCAUGAAGGCAGCGAGGAGCACAGCUGGACCAGGAUGGGAUGAGGACUUGCAGUUAUAUUGUGCUCGUAGUUACCUGCCAUAAAUCUGGCACAAAGCAGCUGUCGCCAGUGAUUCAUGCUGGGGAUAUAUCCAGCCCUGGCUCAAGAUCUCCCAUGGACACAGCGGCCAGACACAGCAAGGGAACUCACUUUGCCUCUCGUGCUCUGUACACACCUGUUUCACCCAAAGGGAUGAAGUCAUUCCCCUGAACUGCAAACCCCAGGAGCACCUGUGUUUGGACAGCCACUUUCCUGGGAGAAAGGGAACAAACUGUGAAAACCUUCUAAGUAAGUGCUAGAGAAACUUCUCAUCGAGCGCAACCUGGAAUGAUUUCCCAGCUGUGCCACGAAAGGGUUUCUAAAUCAGAUUGGAAAAACACAAGGGAUGCAAACCUGCUUAGCAUGUACGGUGUAGGGCACAGCUAAGACAUUUCAUAAACAGAGAAUUCAUGUUCACAUUCUUCAAAAGGCUCAUGGUAGCAAUGAAUAAUUUAAGAUUGGGAGAGAAAAAAGAUCUGGAGCAAGAGUGCUACCACAGGCUCAGAAUAAUACCUAGCAUGCACAUUCAGAUUUUGCUCAGUGCAAUUUUAGGCAUGAUAGUUAAGGAGCAGUAUGAGUGCUCUUCCUUUCACAGAUGUGGAAACUGAGGCGUGGAGAAGGGAAGUUGCUUGCUCAGUUGGCUAGCAGGCCAGUGGUGAGGCUGAGAACAGAGCCUGCAUGUGUUCUGUGUCUUUUCGGACCCAUGAGUCAGUAUCAAUCAUCAACAUUUUUCAAAGACUACAAACGGGCCUAUCUCCUUUCUGCUAAUGAAUUCAUGUAUGAGAGACAGAGAGAGAGAGAGAUGAAAAAAUAUAGGGAGGAAUGACCUUUAAAACAGUCACAUUGUAUGAAAAGCCCAUUUUCAUCUUGUUCUACCCAUUUCCUCACCACACUCUCAGGCUAAAUAGCUCCUAGGGGAGAACAGAAGCCAAUAGCUUUCCCUCAAGCUACAAAAUGUGAAAUGUCUGCACAGACCUACCCAGACGUCCAGAGGGAAAUAACUAUGGCAUACAUCCUGCAUUCAGUUAUUGCACAGGCCAGCCACGGUGUUAAUAAAGCCCUGAAUCUGUGCAGGAAAA